GUACCAUUUAGGAGGUCAAGUUAAAUUUGCUCUGUGGAAGAAUCACUUAACUUUCAGAGUAUAUUCUGAUAAUUUCCAUUACGAAAGAUGUAAAGAUCUGUCAAUUUAAAACUCACAUGUCUUAAAGUUGCAUGUCAGGUCAAACGUUUUUAAGGGUUUCUGUUGAUUUUCUGCAAAUGGCUUAAACCAGUGUAUAAAUAUACAUCUAGAGAACAUAGUAGACAUAUUGAAUGCUUUCAGAGCAGUAAUGUACUGGUACAUUUGGUAAAGGAAUGUACUUUAAGUGUUUAACCCAGGACUGUUUCCACAAGGUCACAGGAUUAUUUUAGAUGGAGUAAAAUAAUCUAAAAUAAUAAUAAUAUUUCUGUGAAAUAGAAAGUAAGUUUCACUUCUCGCGUAUUUUUUCUCUUUAUAUACCAGAUUUCAUUUAAGUUCAUGAAAUAAUGCUUAACAUUUAGUGAUUUAACUAGUGAAGCAGUAAAACUUUGGGCUUGCUUGUGCAUAGUAACAUGGAAUACUUAUAUCUAUUUUCUUUUGUCACAGUCUUUGGUGACUGUUGGCUAUUGAAAAGGACAUCUUUUAACUUCUCUAGUUCUUUAAUAUCUGAGUUUCUUUGUGGCUGCGUAAGUGAUUCAGGAAAAAAACAAAUGUAAAAUACAAGUUUCUUAGGAAAUCAGAAGUUGUUUCUUACUACUUUGGGGAGAGACUUUUUUCCAUAUACCUCAUAUGUAAAAUAAUGCAGAUGCUUUUCUGUGUCUUUGGAUUCUUCUGGGUAGAAGGUUAGUUCUUGUAAUUUUGAUAGAAAAGCCUAAAUUUGUAUUGUGUUUUUGCUUUCAUGCCAGAAAAUGCAAUAGAUUGUGGUA
rnacentral:lncRNA from 1 species